rnacentral:rRNA from 1 species
GUUGAACGCUAGCUACAGGCUUAACACAUGCAAGUCGAGGGGUAGCAGGGUAGCAAUACCGCUGACGACCGGCGCACGGGUGAGAAACACGUAUCCAACCUUCCCAUAACUCAGGAAUAGCCUUUCGAAAGAAAGAUUAAUACCUGAUAGCACUUAAGAAAGGCAUCUUUCUUAAGUUAAAGAUUUAUCGGUUAUGGAUGGGGAUGCGUUCCAUUAGAUAGUUGGUGAGGUAACGGCUCACCAAGUCUUCGAUGGAUAGGGGUUCUGAGAGGAAGGUCACCCACAUUGGUACUGAGACACGAACCAAACUCCUACGGGAGGCAGCAGUGAGGAAUAUUGGUCAAUGGGCGAGAGCCUGAACCAGCCAAGUAGCGUGAAGGAUGAAGGUCCUAUGGAUUGUAAACUUCUUUUAUAGUAGAAUAAAGUGAGCCACGUGUGGUUUUUUGUAUGUAUACUAUGAAUAAGGAUCGGCUAACUCCGUGCCAGCAGCCGCAGUAA